rnacentral:tRNA from 1 species
AGAAACUUAGGAUCCGAUCUAACCAAACCAGGAGCCUUCAAAGCCCCAAACAAGAGAUAAAACCUCUUAGUUUCUG